AAACUAACAAGCACAAAUGAAAUAAUUACAAAAAUAUGAAUAAAUUAUAGGCUUAUGAGCUGACUUCAUUCUAUCAGGCUCAUAAGCAUAUGCCAAUACAAGGGGACAAGAGAAGACAAUAUUAAAGAAGACAGCAAGGUAAUAGUAGCCUAUUCUAAGUUGAGAGAAAACCUGUCAGUGGGAAAAUAUAUGGGAGCACCAAGCACACCUUAUAUGAUUGCCCAAAACUUCUUUUUACAAAUUAGCACUGUUUCAAGCCUCUUUUCUUUGUUUUCCAGAGAAUGUGAUUUAACUUCCCAUAGAAAUUGUGGAGCCAAAUCAUGGAUUCUUGAGGUAAUUGCUUCCUCAUCUCUAAUGAUAAUGUAUCCCUG
rnacentral:misc_RNA from 1 species